CGAUGGCUUUCUGUUGAGGCAUGUAUUGAUGAAAAAUUAAUUGCAUGCCAUGAAUUGUCUUGAAGUCAACAUCAUGAGUUAUGAAUGUGAUGACAUUAAUGGAACUCAAGGGAUGGAAGUUGGGACCUCCAUGAAAGCUAGUGUUCAGUGCCAACUUGUUCGGUUAGGUGAAUGUAUCGAUCUAUUUAUUUUAUUAAACAGUAAAAAUUGGCCUCAAUUAUCGUUUUCAGAUUGCAAAUAUAAUGUUUUAAGAUG